UGUGUGUGUGUUUGUGUGUGUAGAGCUUUUAUGUUUUUGUAUUACAACACUGAAUUAUUUGCAAAAGUGCCAUAACUGUAUGAUUGUUGCCGUUAUUGUUAUUAGCAGCUGAAAAGACCAGAGUCAGUCAUGGAGUUUGAUUCCAGUCACAGAAGUGAAGAGGAGGAGGAAGGGGCAGGUGAGGAAGAGGAGGAGAGGCAGCAGGACCAACAAAAAUCAGUUCCAGCUACUGUGGAGAUGUUUGUUGGACACCUGACCUCAGUGUUGUUGUGUCUGCCUGGCUCCGCGCAGGGGUUCCAGCUCUCCUGUUGUGGGUCAGGAAUGGUUUCCAAGUAGCCAUAGAUGGAUGAACGGGUGAAGUUGAACCCGUGAAUGCCGUCUUCUGGAAACACAAGGAUCUGAGCGCCCUGUGUGAGAACAGAAUCAUGGAACAGCAGGGCAUCGUGGCGGGACACAGGCACGUGAGGCUCCGGGUUCAGGAUCAAAUUAUGCUCGUACACGGCCGCAACGUACGAAUCCACAGCGGACUCCGGCUGACCGAGGCAAAUGUUGACAAAAAAGAGAACGAACGGUGAUAAGAAAACACACUGCUUGCGAAAAUGUACAASCAGAGUGCGGUCUACUUGGUCUACUUCAGUGCUGUGCAACUGAAUUUCUUCAGGGGCCACAGUUACUGCAGGCCAACAGCUGAGGGGCCAAACAUCCAGCAGUUAAAGUCAUUAUCUGCAGAGUCUUAUCCGGUGGUGGUUUGAUCGCCGCCGCAGCUUACGUCUAUUUUGAAACCAGGAGGGCGCUUAAAAUGAGGGGUCCUA